rnacentral:tRNA from 1 species
UCCCUGGUAGUCUAAUAGCUAAGACUCUGCACUCCCAAUGCAGGGGUAUGGGCCCAGGUUUGAUCCCUGAUCAGGGAA